rnacentral:rRNA from 1 species
AGAGUUUGAUCAUGGCUCAGGACGAACGCUGGCGGCGUGCCUAAUACAUGCAAGUAGAACGCAGAAGACUUUAGCUUGCUAGAGUUGGAAGAGUUGCGAACGGGUGAGUAACGCGUAGGUAACCUGCCUAUUAGUGGGGGAUAACUAUUGGAAACGAUAGCUAAUACCGCAUAAUAGUGUUUAACACACGUUAGAGACUUAAAAGAUGCAAUUGCAUCACUAGUAGAUGGACCUGCGUUGUAUUAGCUAGUUGGUGGGGUAACGGCCUACCAAGGCGACGAUACAUAGCCGACCUGAGAGGGUGAUCGGCCACACUGGGACUGAGACACGGCCCAGACUCCUACGGGAGGCAGCAGUAGGGAAUCUUCGGCAAUGGGGGCAACCCUGACCGAGCAACGCCGCGUGAGUGAAGAAGGUUUUCGGAUCGUAAAGCUCUGUUGUAAGAGAAGAACGUGUGUGAGAGUGGAAAGUUCACACAGUGACGGUAACUUACCAGAAAGGGACGGCUAACUACGUGCCAGCAGCCGCGGUAAUACGUAGGUCCCGAGCGUUGUCCGGAUUUAUUGGGCGUAAAGCGAGCGCAGGCGGUUUAAUAAGUCUGAAGUUAAAGGCAGUGGCUUAACCAUUGUUCGCUUUGGAAACUGUUAAACUUGAGUGCAGAAGGGGAGAGUGGAAUUCCAUGUGUAGCGGUGAAAUGCGUAGAUAUAUGGAGGAACACCGGUGGCGAAAGCGGCUCUCUGGUC